AUUGAACGCUGGCGGCAGGCCUAACACAUGCAAGUCGAACGAGUGGCGGACGGGUGUGUAAUGCCUGGGAAACUGCCCGAUGGAGGGGGAUAACUACUGGAAACGGUAGCUAAUACCGCAUACCAUCGGAUGUGCCCAGAUGGGAUUAGCUAGUAGGUGGGGUAACGGCUCACCUAGGCGACGAUCCCUCGCUGGUCUGCGAGGAUGACCAGCCAAUCUGGAACGGGAACAGGGGCCAGACUCCUACGGGAGGAAGCAGUGGGGAAUAUUGCACAUUGGGGGCAAGCCUGAUGCAGCCAUGCCGCGUGUAGGAGGAAGGCCUUCGGGUUUUAAAGUACGUUCAGCGAGGAGGCGUUACUCGCAGAAGAAGCACCGGCUAACUCCGUGCCAGCAGCCGCGGUAAUAC
rnacentral:rRNA from 1 species